UGAUACUAAGCCAUGCGAGUCAUUGCAGUAAUGCAAGGCAGACGGCUCAGUAACGCGUAGUCAACCUACCCUAUGGACGGGAAUAACCUCGGGAAACUGAGUAUAAUGCCCGAUAGAACACUAUUCCUGGAAUGGUUUGUGUUCCAAAUGAUUUAUCGCCGUAGGAUGGGACUGCGGCCUAUCAGUUUGUUGGUGAGGUAAUGGCCCACCAAGACUAUUACAGGUACGGGCUCUGAGAGGAGUAGCCCGGAGAUGGGUACUGAGACACGGACCCAGGCCCUAUGGGGCGCAGCAGGCGAGAAAACUUUGCAAUGUGCGAAAGCACGACAAGGUUAAUCCGAGUGGUUUGUGCUAAACGAACCUUUUGACAGUCCUAGAAACACUGUUGAAUAAGGGGUGGGCAAGUUCUGGUGUCAGCCGCCGCGGUAAAACCAGCACCUCAAGUGGUCAGGAUGAUUAUUGGGCCUAAAGCAUCCGUAGCCGGCUCUGUAAGUUUUCGGUUAAAUCUGUACGCUCAACGUACAGGCUGCCGGGAAUACUGCAGAGCUAGGGAGUGGGAGAGGUAGACGGUACUCGGUAGGAAGGGGUAAAAUCCUUUGAUCUAUUGAUGACCACCUGUGGCGAAGGCGGUCUACCAGAACACGUCCGACGGUGAGGGAUGAAAGCUGGGGGAGCAAACCGGAUUAGAUACCCGGGUAGUCCCAGCUGUAAACUAUGCAAACUCAGUGAUGCAUUGGCUUGUGGCCAAUGCAGUGCUGCAGGGAAGCCGUUAAGUUUGCCGCCUGGGAAGUACGUACGCAAGUAUGAAACUUAAAGGAAUUGGCGGGGGAGCACCACAAGGGGUGAAGCCUGCGGUUCAAUUGG
rnacentral:rRNA from 1 species